AUUGAACGCUGGCGGCAGGCCUAACACACGCCAGUCGAGCGGAUGAAGGGAGCUUGCUCCUGGAUUCAGCGGCGGACGGGUGAGUAAUGCCUAGGAAUCUGCCUGGUAGUGGGGGAUAACGUCCGGAAACGGGCGCUAAUACCGCAUACGUCCUGAGGGAGAAAGUGGGGGAUCUUCGGACCUCACGCUAUCAGAUGAGCCUAGGUCGGAUUAGCUAGUUGGUGGGGUAAAGGCCUACCAAGGCGACGAUCCGUAACUGGUCUGAGAGGAUGAUCAGUCACACUGGAACUGAGACACGGUCCAGACUCCUACGGGAGGCAGCAGUGGGGAAUAUUGGACAAUGGGCGAAAGCCUGAUCCAGCCAUGCCGCGUGUGUGAAGAAGGUCUUCGGAUUGUAAAGCACUUUAAGUUGGGAGGAAGGGCAGUAAGUUAAUACCUUGCUGUUUUGACGUUACCAACAGAAUAAGCACCGGCUAACUUCGUG
rnacentral:rRNA from 1 species